CCCAUACCACGUUGAAGUACCGGUUCUCGUAUGAUCACCAAAGUUAAGCAUCAUCGAGGCUGGUUAUAUCUAAAUGGGUAACCACUUGGGAAUUACAGCAGCUGG